rnacentral:rRNA from 1 species
CUGUCUCAAAGAUUAAGCCAUGCAUGUCUCAGUACAAGCCAAAUUAAGGUGAAACCGCGAAAGGCUCAUUAAAUCAGUUAUGGUUCCUUAGAUCGUACCCACAUUUACUUGGAUAACUGUGGUAAUUCUAGAGCUAAUACAUGCAAACAGAGCUCCGACCGGAGACGGAAGGAGCGCUUUUAUUAGAUCAAAACCAAUCGGUGUCGGGUCUUCGGACUCCGUCAUCGUACAAUUUGCUGAAUCUGAAUAACUUUAAGCUGAUCGCACGGUCCUAGCACCGGCGACGCAUCUUUCAAAUGUCUGCCUUAUCAACUGUCGAUGGUAGGUUCUGCGCCUACCAUGGUUGUAACGGGUAACGGGGAAUCAGGGUUCGAUUCCGGAGAGGGAGCCUGAGAAACGGCUACCACAUCCAAGGAAGGCAGCAGGCGCGCAAAUUACCCACUCCCGGCACGGGGAGGUAGUGACGAAAAAUAACGAUACGGGACUCAUCCGAGGCCCCGUAAUCGGAAUGAGUACACUUUAAAUCCUUUAACGAGGAUCAAUUGGAGGGCAAGUCUGGUGCCAGCAGCCGCGGUAAUUCCAGCUCCAAUAGCGUAUAUUAAAGUUGUUGCGGUUAAAAAGCUCGUAGUCGAAUCUGUGUCCCGCGCCGCCGGUUCAUCGUUCGCGGUGUCAACUGGCGUGCCGCGGGACGUCCUGUCGGUGGGCUUAGCUCCGUCAUGGGCGGCCCAACAUAAAUCCCGCCGCGGUGCUCUUCAUUGAGUGUCGAGGUGGGCCGACACUUUUACUUUGAACAAAUUAGAGUGCUUAAAGCAGGCUAAAAUUUCGCCUGAAUACUGUGUGCAUGGAAUAAUGGAAUAGGACCUCGGUUCUAUUUUGUUGGUUUUCGGAACCCCGAGGUAAUGAUUAAUAGGAACGGAUGGGGGCAUUCGUAUUGCGACGUUAGAGGUGAAAUUCUUGGAUCGUCGCAGACGGA